GAUGGACGCUGGCGGCGUGCCUAAUACAUGCGAGUCGAGCGAACAGACGAGGAGCUUGCUCCUUCGACGUUAGCGGCGGACGGGUGAGUAACACGUAGGUAACCUACCUAUAAGACUGGGAUAACUUCGGGAAACCGGAGCUAAUACCGGAUAAUAUUUCGAACCGCAUGGUUCGAUAGUGAAAGAUGGCUUUGCUAUCACUUAUAGAUGGACCUGCGCCGUAUUAGCUAGUUGGUAAGGUAACGGCUUACCAAGGCAACGAUACGUAGCCGACCUGAGAGGGUGAUCGGCCACACUGGAACUGAGACACGGUCCAGACUCCUACGGGAGGCAGCAGUAGGGAAUCUUCCGCAAUGGGCGAAAGCCUGACGGAGCAACGCCGCGUGAGUGAUGAAGGUCUUCGGAUCGUAAAACUCUGUUAUUAGGGAAGAACAAACGUGUAAGUAACUGUGCACGUCUUGACGGUACCUAAUCAGAAAGCCACGGCUAACUACGUG
rnacentral:rRNA from 1 species